AACCUGCAGUCUUGGAGCCGUGCUGUGUUGGUGGCACCCGAGGGCACACCAGACUUGCACAAAAAGCAAACACCGGAGGAAGCUGAGGCAUGGCUGCUCGAGAGCCAGCCUGCCAUGUGCAAUGUUCCUCUGAUAGUUUAAAAAA
rnacentral:snoRNA from 1 species